rnacentral:rRNA from 1 species
UGGGGAAUAUUGGGCAAUGGGCGAAAGCCUGACCCAGCAACGCCGCGUGAGGGAAGAAGGCCUUCGGGUUGUAAACCUCUGUCCUUGGUGACGAAAAAAAUGACGGUAGCCAAGGAGGAAGCCCCGGCUAACUACGUGCCAGCAGCCGCGGUAAUACGUAGGGGGCGAGCGUUGUCCGGAAUUACUGGGCGUAAAGGGUGCGUAGGUGGCCUUUUAAGUUGGAUGUGAAAUCCCCGGGCUUAACUUGGGUGGUGCAUCUAAUACUGGAGGGCUAGAGUGCAGGAGAGUGAAGCGGAAUUCCUAGUGUAGCGGUGAAAUGCGUAGAUAUUAGGAGGAACACCAGUGGCGAAGGCGGCUUUCUGGACUGUAACUGACACUGAGGCACGAAAGCGUGGGGAGCAAACA